rnacentral:rRNA from 1 species
CGAGGCAGCAGUAGGGAAUCUUCCGCAAUGGACGAAAGUCUGACGGAGCAACGCCGCGUGAGUGAUGAAGGCUUUCGGGUCGUAAAACUCUGUUGUUAGGGAAGAACAAGUACAAGAGUAACUGCUUGUACCUUGACGGUACCUAACCAGAAACGGCGGC